ACUUAACUUAUAAGGGAUUCUCUGCAACCUGUUGAGUUGCCUGCAGCCUGGGCAGCAUGCUCCAGGUUCCUAGCUUUUGUGAGCUAUACUCCAUGCUUGGGUGGACUUUGGUGAUGAUGCAGAUGUGCUUGAAUCAUUUCUUUUCCUGCUGGUUAUAUGGUGGAUUACUUUGACCAGUUUUCAUGUGUUGAACUGUGCCUGCAUUUAUAAUGGUGGAUGAUCUUCUUCAUGUGUUCCUGCAUUCUGUUUGCACCUCAUCAAGUGGAGCAGAAUUGAGGAUGGCAUAGGAGUAUCCCAUAAAAGCCAAAGCUAAGUCGGAGAGAGACAAGAGGACAAGUCUUUUUGCUGAGCCACAAAAAGACACUCACAUCAAGUUAUCUGCAAUUGUAGAGCCUUCAAGAUGGAGAUUCAAGAUUGUGAAAAGCACACACAUAAAAAUCAUGCUGAAUAGCCCCCAAUUUGUAAAAGAGUUCCAAAAGAAAUAGAAUUAAGGUAUGACUCCAAUUCAUCUCUCCUCUGGUUGAAUUCUACAUUGGGAUGGAGGCUGGAAACAGAAGAGGAACCCAGGGAGUAAAGAAGUUGGAAAAACCAAGGAUGGAGAAUUGGCAUUUUCUUUCAAGGGAAGGCUUGAUAUCUUAGUAUACCAUUGAGAGCAGAGAUGAGACAUCUUUAUUUAACUGAUGUUCAAAGUUCUGAUUGCAUACAGACUCAGACUUCACCUCAUUGACUGGAACUAUUUGAGGCUUAAAAAUACCUGAAUAACCACCUCUGAAUUUGUCUCCAAAACAGUCACACAAGUGAGUUUGAAAAGAAUAUGAAAGGAAAUGAAGUUGCUUUAUGACCUGCAUAUAGAAACCAAUACAUUGAAUU